GGGGAUUUAGCUCAGCGGUAGAGCGCUUGCCUAGCAAGCACAAGGCCCUGGGUUCGGUCCUCAGCUCCA
rnacentral:tRNA from 1 species